UCUCUUCAAGUCUUCAAGCCCAUGGUUACAUAAGAAAUUCAUCAAGUGAAUGGGCUCUUCUUCUAAACUAAGCCCACAUAACAAAAUUCCCAAAAUCAACAACCACUAAACCCUAAACCCCUUUUUCCUCUAUCAUCUUCUAAAAUCAAUUUAAUCUCCAUUAUCAAAUCCUUCAAUUCUCCCCUCAAACUCAAUCAAAAAUUCAUCAAUGGCGUUGAAAUGCGGUAGAUUCAUGAACAGAGCAUCACUAUCUUCUCUCAAAUCCUCCAUUAAUUCUGCUACUAAAUCUGCUCCAAGGUCUGCUGCAUCUGCUCUUCCCAGAUCCACUUCCUCAAAUCUUCCUCGAAUCAAUUUCUCAAGAUUGCCGAAGGAAUUGGGAGGAGCGCAAUCGCUGUUGCCGCUGCACAGCGCCGUAGCGGUGGCGAGGCUGACGUCAUGCUUAAGCACAACUUCGAGGAGUUCCAGAGCUCUCUCUCAGGGUACACUCUGCCGUACCUCUCCCGACCUCUAAUAUUCUUAUUUUUAGGCACAUAAUGUCAAUAUGCUUGAAAGAAAUAGUGUGGGUCCUGGGGCUUGCCAAUCAUGAAUCCCUGCAUCGUUCUCAAAUGAAACUGAUGGUACGUGAGAGGUUUGAAGGUUGCUCAAUUCACCAGUGCUUCCAUGUCCCUUAGCUAUAAUGAUUUUACAACACGGAUAUAGUAUGUCUGAUGCGAAGUCAUAUCUGUACAUUUUUUUGGAGCAAAUCUGUAUCAAUGCAGAUGAAACCCUUUUUGUGUUCUUUGUGACUACGGCUUACUGGAUCUAAGUCGAACAUUAUAUUCAAGCAUAAUUAGCAUAUUGAAGUGCUACUUCUCAUAACAGUUUCUGAUCAAAAUUUAUUUUCUGUUUGCUCUAGAGCUUGGUCUGUCCGUACCCAGGUGACUUAGCAGUUCAUCGCUAAUUCAAGAAGCCAUCUUCGUGUGAUUGGAAACACAACUUUUUGCCGCCAGAAUUUUUAUUGUAAACUGUACAAAUCCUCUUAUCAGCUAUUGAAUUUCUUUGCUGGUCAAAUAUUGGAUGUGAAGGUAUUUUUUUUUUUGAAAGUUUAACUGAUGGAAUAAUGUGGUUUUUGUAUUGUUACCCUGAGCUUAACUGUAGUAACACCAUCUUACACUCACUAUUUCAGCAAAUGCUGUACUAAUAAUCUCAAUUACAUGCUUUGUUUGUUUUGA